rnacentral:rRNA from 1 species
AUCACUUUCAACAACGGAUCUCUUGGUUCUCGCAUCGAUGAAGAACGUAGCGAAGUGCGAUAAGUAGUGUGAAUUGCAGAAUUCCGUGAAUCAUCGAAUCUUUGAACGCAAAUUGCACUCCCUGGUAUUCCGGGGAGUAUGCCUGUUUGA